CCUUGGUAGCACAGUGACACAGCAAGCCUAAGGAUUUUCUAUGGAGAUUUUUAACGUCGGGGACCACAGACACUCAAAUAAUUUAAGUCCAUUUGCAGCAUCAAAAGAAACAAGAAGAAGUCAGACAGAGUGCCUUGCAAAUUUGUGUGUAAACGGGCACAGGGUCCACAUUGAUCACUUCUGCAGCUCUUCGGUUUUAGUGUCCAGGCUGCCAGACGACUGAACAACCUGCACGCUCUUCCCCUGAUCCGAGACUGGAAGCUACUGAAGGAAAAGAGGACACUUCACACCAGCCUUCAGGGCCUCGACCUAACACAACGUGGAAAGGAGGACCAUGUCAGGCUGGAGCAGGGACUUUGUCCAAGUCAGCAGCUCACUUACUCAUCCUGAGUAGAAACACCAUGUUCUUCAGUUUUCCAUCUGGAGACCAGCCCAGAAAUGAUCCAGCCUCCUUGCCAGAUUCGAGAGGCAGCUUUUGGAGGUGCAGCACUGUUUGAGGGAGAUUAUAGAAUCUUCAGGAAUGGAGCCUAGACCGAUGAACAGGGUCACUGUGGAAAACUUUGAGGUUUGUGUCCUGACUCUACUUUCUGUACUGUUUGCUUGCUGGUCUGCUAGAUGUGAGCCUUGUGACCCU